rnacentral:misc_RNA from 1 species
AGCUGCGGCGGGACCGCCACUGUAUUUGAGGGACGGCGUGUGCCCACAGGGGGCUUCUGCCGAUCCCCAACGCCAGGCCCGGGGGCCUGAGGGUUGUAAUGACGCUCGAACAGGCAUGCCCGCCAGAAUACUGGCGGGCGCAAUGUGCGUUCAAAGAUUCGAUGAUUCACUGAAUUCUGCAAUUCACAUUACUUAUCGCAUUUCGCUGCGUUCUUCAUCGAUGCCAGAGCCAAGAGAUCCGUUGUUGAAAGUUUUAAUUUAUUUGCUUGUUUGCUCAGAAAAACAUUAUAAAAACAGAGUUAGGGGUCCUCUGGCGGGGGCGGCCCGUUGUUACAGGGCCGUCUGUUCCCGCCGAAGCAACGUUUUAGGUAUGUUCAC